UCAAGCGAACAAGGGCGCAGGGCGAAUGCCUUGGCACUGGGAGCCGAUGAAAGACGUGAUAAGCUGCGAUAAGCUUCGGGGAGCUGCAAAUAAGCAUUGAUCCGGAGAUCUCUGAAUGAGGAAACUCACCUGGGUUCAUACUCAGGUACGUUACACUGAACUUCAAAAUAGGUGUAUCGGGGGAACCGCCUGAACUGAAACAUCUAAGUAGGGCGAGGAAGAGACAUCAAACGAGAUUCCGUAAGUAGUGGCGAGCGAACGCGGAAGAGGGCAAACCGUGAGUAGAAAUACUUGCGGGGUACGGACUGCAUUUAGGACUUAAGUUGUUAACCGAACGGCAUGGGAAGGCCGGUCAGAGAGUGUGAGAACCACGUAGGUGAAAACGACAAGAGCCGAGCAAGUUCCAGAGUACGGCCAGACACGUGAAACCUGGUCGGAAGAUGGGGGGACCACCCUCCAACCCUAAAUACUACCCAGUGACCGAUAGCGUAUAGUACUGUGAAGGAAAGGUGAAAAGCACCCCGGGAGGGGAGUGAAAUAGAACCUGAAACCCUGUGCCUACAAGCACCUAGAGCACGUCAAUGUGUGAUAGGGUACUUUUUGUAGAACGGUCCGGCGAGCGAUUGUAUGCAGCAAGGUUAAGGACUUCAGGUCUGGAGCCGAAGCGAAAGCGAGUUUGAAAAGGGCGUUAAGUUGCAUACAAUGGGCCCGAAACCGGGUGACCUACCCAUGGUCAGGUUGAAGUGGAAGUAAAAUUCCAUGGAGGACCGAACCGACCUCCGUUGAAAAGGCGGCGGAUGAACUGUGGGUAGCGGAGAAAUUCCAAUCGAACCCGGAGAUAGCUGGUUCUCCCCGAAAUAGUUUUAGGACUAGCCUCAACUUAGAUAUCUGGAGGUAAAGCACUGAAUAGCCUAGCGGCCGAGAGGUUAGCGAAGCUUAUCAAACUCAGAAUGCCAGAAUAUUGAUGGUUGGGAGUCAGACAGUGUCAGAUAAAUGUCAUUGUCAAAAGGGAAACAGCCCAGAUCUACAGCUAAGGUCCCAAAGUCAGGUUAAGUGGAAAACGAUGUGGAGAUACGCAGACAACCAGGAUGUUGGCUCAGAAGCAGCCACUCAUUCAAAGAGUGCGUAAUAGCUCACUGGUCGAGCGUCUCUGCGCGGAGAAUUUAACGGGGCUAAACCUGACACCGAAGCUUAGGCAAUGUAGUAAUACAUUGGGUAGGGGAGCGUUGUAUACGCGGUGAAACAGUAGCGCAAGCGGCUGUGGAGUGUAUAGAAGUGAGAAUGCCGGAAUGAGUAGCGCGAAUGCAGUGAGAAUCUGCAUGGCCGAAAGCCUCAGGUUUCUGGAGGAAGGUUCGUCCGCUCCAGGUUAGUCGGGAGCUAAGGUGAGGCCUAACGGCGUAGCCGAUGCACAGACGGUAGAGAUUCCGUCACCACCAAAAGAGUUAAACACAGGGACACAUUUGAAGUCUCGGAGCCGGGUGUUGGUUCCGGUAGCGAUCGAGGGAAAUUAGUACCGAAGUCCGGGAUGGAAGAUGGCGAGAAAAGCUGUGUGUAUUUCUGCGGUGCCCGUACCGCAAACCGACACAGGUAGGUAGGAAGAAGAUUCUAAGGCCAACGGGAGAAGGGUUGUUAAGGAACUCGGCAAAUUGACCCCGUAACUUCGGGAGAAGGGGUGCUCCAGAGAUGGAGCCGCAGAGAAUCGGCCCAAGCAACUGUUUACCAAAAACACAGGUUUGUGCUAAAUCGAAAGAUGACGUAUACGAGCUGACGCCUGCCCGGUGCUGGAAGGUUAAGAGGAGAUGUGCAAGCAUUGAAUCGAAGCCCCAGUGAACGGCGGCCGUAACUAUAACGGUCCUAAGGUAGCGAAAUUCCUUGUCAGGUAAGUUCUGACCCG
rnacentral:rRNA from 1 species